rnacentral:rRNA from 1 species
GUUAGGAAUAUUGGACAAUGGGCGCAAGCCUGAUCCAGCCAUGCCGCGUGAGUGAUGAAGGCCUUCGGGUUGUAAAGCUCUUUAGCCGAUGAUUAUAAUGACUGUAGUCGGAAAAUAAGCCCCGGCUAACUUCGUGCCAGCAGCCGCGGUAAUACGAAGGGGGCGAGCGUUAUUCGGAAUCACUGGGCGUAAAGCGUGCGUAGGCGGUUUUGUAAGUUAGGAGUGAAAGCCCAGGGCUCAACCUUGGAAUUGCUCUUAAAACUGCAAGACUCGAAUCUCGGAGAGGAUAGCGGAAUUUCCAGUGUAGCAGUGAAAUGCGUAGAUAUUGGAAGGAACACCAGUGGCGUAAGCGGCUAUCUGGACGAGUAUUGACGCUGAGGCACGAAAGCGUGGGGAUCAAACAGGAUUAGAAACCCGAGUAGUCC